AACCAAUGGAGUUGAUUACGU
rnacentral:sRNA from 1 species